rnacentral:lncRNA from 1 species
CAUGAUCAGAUCUUCAAGCUACAUCAAGAGAUAAAGACAAAAUCUAGAUUUAUAUCAAGGAUGUGAAGCAAUCCAAUCAAUAAGGCAUCCUUCUUCAAACAAUCUUUUGAGCUUUUAUUACUCAUUCACUUUAUUUACCUUUUCAUGCUAAAACAUUGAGGAUAAUGUCCAAUUCAAAUAUGGAGUGGGGUACCUAAUCUUGUUCUUCUUUAAUCUAUGUUUUCUUUUGUUUUUCUUACUUUGACUAUUACAGUCAAGUUACUCAUUUGCUUGAACAUUUUGUUAUAAUAUACUUGUAAUUUUAAUUCUUGUGUAUGUGUGAAUAGAUGGUAAGUAAAUUUUUAUCUGAUGAACCAACUCCAUGCUUGAGAAGUUAGCCCUACAAAUGUGAGAUUUCGAGUCAUUAUAUGUCCUUGAACAAAACCAAAAAAAAAAAAAAUCAAAAUAUCUCCCUUUCUCCAUGUUUCGAGUGAAAUCUCUCAUUGAUUGAUGUUCCUCUAGAAUUUUACUUGUAACCUUUUUGAAGCUAUUUUCUUGUGAAGCAUGUAUAAUGAAAAUGAAGCACUUUAAAGAGUGCUUUUUUUAUUCAUGUUUGCUUCCACAAGAGAAAUAGUAGAAAAGUAGGUUUAUUGUCAACCCUAUAGCAGGACUUAUUCGCUGAUAAACAAUUUAGUGAGACUCAAUUACAUUUUUCUAAAAUGAGUGAUUUUGUGAGGUGAGUGCCCAUUUCUGUUGAGAAUUUGUGACUUAGAGAGCCUAAGACUCUAACUUGAAACUUAAGUUGGUGGUCCCUUGAUUUUUGACUUUGCCCUAUGCUUACACAUGCAUUUGAAUUUUGUUCUUAUUAAUUUUUAUGUUUGCUUGUUCCUAAUAUUUCAUACCGAAACAAUUGCUUGAGGACAAACAAUGUUUCAUGCAUGGGGCGUUUGAUGACAUUUUUUUAUACGUAUUUUAUGCAUAGAAUUUCUAUGGUACACUUACAAUUUUGAGUGUACCAGUACUCUUGUUUCACAAAAUAUAUAAAUUAACGAUCACUUUAAUGAAAUAAAAAGGUAUUUGUCAAUAUUUAUAUUUUAGAAAACAUCAUUUCAUAAGAAAAACAAUCAUUUCAUUGUUUAUAAGGAUCAUAUUAAAAAAUUUACAUUUUCUCAUAAAAAAUAAUCAAUAUUCAUUGUUAUGAGUAAUAAAAAUUCUUAAAAAUUAAAUUUUAUUUCGUCGAAACUUUUGGUAAAUAAAAUUUAAUUAUCUUAGUUGUCAAUGAUAGAAAAUAAUUAUUUUUCUUCAAAAAAACAACUCAUUUAUUAUUAAUUUUACGACUUGGUGUACCGAUACACCCAAAUUUAUUGGAUGUACCAUAGAAUUUGUCUUUAAGUAAUUAUUAGUUUUUAUUAUACUUUUAGAAUUACUUUACUACUUUUUAUCUAUUUUCCAAUAAAUAGAUAUGGUCAAGAGAUUUUGAAGAAUUGAUGAAGAAAUAGUGGUAGACAUGAAUUUGAUGAACUCUUUAUGGCCAAUGAAUCAAAUAAUGGUAAUGGAGUGCUUUUUCAAUACAUUGGAUGUGGAAAUUCAUCGUAAAACUAUUUAAAUUCGCAACACUUGGCAGAAACUGUCACCAUAACUCAUGGAAUUUGUAAAAUCAAAAGGAGGCUAAAGUCAUACUCCCUCUGUCGUUAUAUCUAAACACUUUUUUAUUAGAGGUAAAUGAUACUUACAUACAGAGACAGAGGGAGUAGUUGGUUACGUCCACCUGUGGCCAAUCACUACGGUCAUAGUCUACCAUCAACACUAAAAUUAUAUGUUUUACUUUGUCUAUUUGAAUGGUUUUGUAGAAUUAGGUGUAGUUAAGUCUUGUGGCUAAUGAAUUUCACAAAUUUAGAGUCUCUCUAUCUUUGAAUUGGUUAGUAAUACUAGUAUUUCUCAUCAUCACUUCAUUGUAAAAUCUUAGCAUGAUCUUGUAUCUUGUUCUUUGCAUUCAAUAAGGUUUUAGUUUAUUUACUUUUGUUUUUCUUUUAUUUUUGCUCUAGGCCCAUCACUAUGAUGAAACUAGGAGAAAUUUUUGAUACUCGCAAAUCCCUAUGCGAAUGAUCUUUUAAUCACACGAGAAAAUCGUGCACUUGCAGGCUUAAUUAUCACCUUACAUCGAACGUUACAUGCCCCUUAUUGCUAUUUUUUAUAUUAAUUAAUGUGACAAAAAUGUUCAUUUUACUACUGUUCCUUGGGUGAUUUGAACUAAAAACAUUGAGGUUACAUAAUUAAACUCUUACCACUAAGCUAGUACCUAAUUUCUCUUUGUAUUUUCAUUUAUUUGUUAAAAAUUACAAAUAAGUUUGUCUCACCAACACAUACACAAUUGUUUUGCAAGAUUAUUAUAAUUGUUUAAGUGAGUUAUAAUUUUUUUUUAUGUAUUUUAAAGGAGAGCAAAACAUUGGAGGUUAUUCAAAAAAUAAAAUGGAAGAGAAAUGAAAAUUGAAGUGCGAUAAAAAUCAUAAGUGGAACAAUUUAUGACAUAAAUAAAAAUUUAUAGGAAUAUAGGUAACAUAGAAUAUUUUUCAAUCCCUCAAAAAAAAAAAAGAAUAUUUUUCAACUUAAAUAUUCAAGAUAUUAUGAAGGCCUUGAAUUGAAGGUCGCGGAGAUUUAUCCGAAAUAAAGAGAGAAGAAAAAAAUCUAAACAUUAUUCAUUACAUCCCUAUUUCAUAACUUUACAAUCAUAUUAUUUAGUACAAAAUCACAAUUAUUUUUAUGCUCCAUGAAAUUAUAAAAGGAAGAAAAUAUAAAUUAUUGGGUUCCUACACAAUUAAUAAAUAAAAACUUAUGGAAAUUUCUAGCAGAAUCUUACGGGUACAUUAACUCAAAUACAUUCACAAUUACCUACCAUUGUUUCCUCGAUCAUAACUGGCACAAUCUUAUUGCACCAAUGUUUUUUAGGAGGCAAGCAUAUUUCCUGAUCUUUACAAUCAGAAUUGUUUUGACAUAUAGAAAAUGCUGUGAUAAAAAAAAAAUAGAAUACAAGGAUGUAACUAAAAUGAGAAAAAAUAUUAUGUAGGAAGGAACUAAUAAAUUUGAGUAAGAUAGAAAAUGGAUUACCAUUGGCGUUCAUUGCAACAAUAAAUAGUGAAAGAAAGAUAAUCAUAAGAUAAAUAAAUUUGACAAUUUCAGACAUAUUUUUUCCUCUUUAAAUGUAAGAGAUAGAAUAUAUUUUUAUCAAUUUACAAUAUAUAAAAAUUAUUUUUUACCUUACGUACAUUAAAUAUUUUUCAUAUCUUAUGAAGAUGGUAACAACCUUCCUAAAAUUAAAAUCAUUAUUAAAUGUCUCUUAAGUAAAUCAAUGUGUUGUUAUUGUCCCUUUAGCCUACAUAGUAAAGUGGUUAUAUAAAAAUUUAUAAUUAAAUUUCUCUUAAGUACAUCAACACUAUAAAAAUACACUCUAUUAUAAAAAUGCACUCUAACGUGUGUCUUAAAGAUACUCUUUAAAGACUUUAAAUAAAUAAAUUUGAUUAUAUCAAGAAAAAAAUACUAUUACAUUAAUAAAAGUAUUAAAAUAUGGUGUUAGAAAACUUUUUAGUUGUCAAAAUAAUUUUUGCCCAAUUUAAGGCAGACCAUAAUGGGCUUUUUUGGGUUUACCUAGUUAGACAAAAAGUCGUAUUAAAAUUUGAAAAUUGCUUUACUGACAUUCAUAACUUCACAAUGACAUAUGAAAAUUACAUAAAAGCCUUCAGCGGUAGUUAACUGCCGUUGCGUUCUGUUAUAUGAACAUAACAAACAUAAAAGUUUCCAAAACUCCAUUGUUGCGUUUUUGGAUUUAUCAGGUGCGUUUUUUAGCAAAUAUCAGCCAUUCCGAGUCAAUUUCAAGCAAAAAAUCAAGUAAGUGUUUUGAAUCCUAUUACAUUGAUUUUUUGUUAUUGAAUUGUUAGAUAAUUUGUUUUGAUUUCAAAUAAGAUUGACAUAUUGUUGUAAAAUUGUUAGGAAAUUAUGGAAUAAUUUUUAGGAUUAGUUUAGGUUUUGACGAAUUAUUGUAAAAUUGUUACGACAUGAUGUAGGUUUUGAUCGCCAAUUUGUUUAUAUAGAUAUGUCUCAGAAUGAGGAAGAUGCUUGAAUGUAGUGGCUUGUAAUGCCUAGUUAUUUUUUUGCUUUUUUUUUUUUUUUAUGUUUUUUAUAUGUCGCGCGCAUUUUGCUACAUUUUCCUGGUGCUUUGAAUAAAAAUCGUGUUUUGACUAAUUUCGAUUAAAGUCGCGUUUUGAAUAAUUUCGAUUAAAGUCGUUUUUUGAAUAAUUUCGAUUAAAGUCGUGUUUAACUAAUUAAAUCUAACGUGAAUUCGAAUAAUUAAAAUUGCGUAAUGAAUAAAUAAAUUCGAAAAGUGAAUAAAUAAGAUAAUUAUUGGAUCAUGCAAAACAACAUGUAUUAUGCAUAAUCUACUAUAUAUGUUAUCACAUUACAUUACAUUUGAAAAUGUACCUUCCAACUACAAUAAUUGUCUAACCCCUGAAUGAGGUAAAUUCAAACUUGCUAAACAGCAGGACUCCAACAUUCGUCUGACAUUUCUAUUUUUCCAUUCGAAAGAUUAAAUUCUUGUUAGACUUCGUUUAAAUAAUGAUAUUCAAGUGUCAAAAGAAUGAGGUGCAUUCUUUGACACUUCAAUACCUUCAUUUAAACCAGCCUAACAAGAAUUUAAUCUUGUGAAAGGAACAAUUGAAAUGUCGGGCGAAUGUUUGAGUCCUGCCGUUUAACAAGUUUGAAUUACCUCAUUCAAAGGAAGACAAUUGUUGUAGUUGGAAGGUGCAUUUCCAUACCUAAUGACGAUCUUCUGGCGAAAUUAAACUUUCGAUGAUAUCUUCAGUUGAUCUCAUCAACGUUACACGUAUAUCGAUCCACUGGAAUAUGGUGUGCUCCCAAAACAUGUUCUUCACAUUUUCGUCGUUCGCUAAUUCCACCUAAGUGGAUUAUAUUCUCCCCUCGUCGAGCGUUGGACGUUUAUACCGAACAUAUUUCACCCUCUUUGCGUCUCUGGGGUUGACUCCUUGGUUGUAUUCAUUCAGUUGAUCCUUGAGACCUCUUAACGUUACACCAAGGCACCGAACCUUCAGCCUCUGAGGUUCUCCGCCGUUGAAGUGUGCAUGAACGUCGAUCCACCCAGCCAUUGUUUCAAAUCUACACAAUAAGAAAUUAAAAAUAAUCAAUGAAAAAUUCAUUCAAACAUUUCAUCAAACAUUUGUAGUGGAAAUUUUACAUAAACCCUAAAAAUCCUAAAUAAACCCUAAAAAAUUUAUAAAAUUCGAAAAAAUAUAAAUUUAAGCAAAUAUAACUCCAUUAUAACAAGUAUUCAUAAUAUUUUUUUAAUAGCAUUUCAGAUCUACAACAUAACUAUAUUAAAAAUAAAUAAGUCAAACCCUAAAAUUUUAUAAAUUUAAGCAAUAUAACUCCAUUAUAACAAGUAUUCAUAAUAUUUGUUGAUAGCAUUUCAGAUCUACAACAUAACUCUAUUAAAAAAAAUAAAUCAAAAACUAAAAAAUAAACUACAACGAAAAUUAUAAACAUAUAAACAUAUAUACUAACUAAAAAUUAUGACAAUAGCCUAAGUGAUUACUUACUUGUGAUUUAGUGGGAAAUUUUUUGGAUGAUUUGGUAGAGUUUUUUUUAGAGAGAGAGUGAAAGAAAAUUGAAAUUUUGAGAGAGAGUGAGUGAUGAAAGAGUGGCUGGAUUCUGGCUACUGACUUGAAUAUGUUACGAACACAACGGUAGUUAACUACCGCUGAGGAAACCGACAGUUAACUUCUUCCGAUUUGUAGAACGGUAGUUAACUAUCACUGGAGAUUUUAGGUAAUUUUCAUGUGUCAAUAUGACAUUCUUGAAGUCAAGAGAAAUAUAUAUAUAUAUAUAUAUAUAUAUAUAUAUAUAUUUUUUUUUUUGUACAGAAACAAAAUUAAUUGGUAUCAUUACUCAAAUGUUGUUCAAUACAUGGAGGAUAUAACUCAAAAAUACGGUGACUAGCUCAAGAACAUGCCGCCCUAGCUAAGGUAUGAGCGACCAUAUUCGCUUGUCUCCUAAUAAACUUCACCUUGAAGUUGGAAUGUAAAGCUAAACUAGCAACAAUACAAGAAACAAUAGGCUGGAACUCCGAGUUACCACGACGAAGGGAUGAUAAGGCAAUGACUAAUGUGUUGGAACAAAAUGUGUUUUACAAUAAACCUUAAUAGUUUUGAUGAUAACAAAGUAUUAAAAAUUGUCAAUUGGAUACGCUAAUAUUUGUUCAAAGUAUACAGGACUGUAGACAAAAUUUGAUAUCAUAAAUUGGUCCUGAAAGAACAAAUAAAGAGCAAGAAUAUCAACAAAAAAGAGAAGCCUAAAGCAUCUGAAGAAAACUGUGUCUGAAGUUAUGAAGUGCUCCUGAAGACAAAGUGUCUUUGAAGUGAUGACGUCAUUAGAAGCAAAGUUCAUCAGAAGCAAGUUCAUCAGAAGCAAGUCUAUCAGAAGCUGCAUAUCACCAGAAGCUACAGUUCAUCAAAAGAUGCAACCUGAAGUUUCAAAUAGUUGUUUAUUGGAUUCAACCUCUUCUAAGAAAGCGAAAGACUAAAGGAAAGGUGGAAACAGUUCAUUUGAAAGGCAUUGGAUGCUUGUCCUUCAAAGAGAGUUGACAAAGUACGAAGUGUACAACCACUACCUCCACUACUCUGUUUUUGUCUACGCUACAAGACAAGAAAAAUAGCUCUGCCUGCAGAAAUGUUCCUUCAUGAUAGGAAUGGAUUUGAACGUGAUCCUUCAUAGGACAACAACCAAAUCAGGCAAAAGAUCAUUGGUGAUUGAUCAAGGUUUCACAACGACUCUAUUGACGUGCUUAAAGAUCUCAACGACUCUUUCACAUCUCUAUAUAAAGGAGUGAAGACUUGAAGAUCAAGAGACACGAGACAACAAGUAAAAAGCGCCCAAACUCUGCAAAAUUUGUUUCACAUAAAUGCACUUAGAAUUUCUGUGUUCAUUUGAUAUAUCUUAGAAAUUCUUAAGUCUAUAGAGUCUUUCAUUUGCAUUGUAUUGUGAACACCACUGAUUGUAUAUCAAGUGUUCAAACUCAAACAAUUUUCUGUGUAAUUCUAUUUGAAUAGAAGUCUCUUGCUUUAGUGCUUGAGCAUAGGAAGUCUCUUGCUUUAGUGCUUGAGCAAGGAAGUCUCUUGCCUGCGUGCUUGAGCAAUUUGAAGUCUCAUACUAGGUGUAGUAUUGAGCAGUUGUAAUCAGUUGUGAUUAAACUUAGUGAAACUCUCCUUGGAAGUGCAAUGGGGACUCGACUACUUCCGGUUUGUGGAAGGAACCAGUAUAAUUGCAUGUGUCUCUCUUUCUUCUCUCUUACUCUGUUUUACUCCGCUGCAUAUCCAAUUUUAAACUGCACCUCAGAAGCAAGUCAAUUGCCUCUGAAGUGUAAUCACAUCAGAAGUGUUUUCAAACAGCUUCUGAAGUGAUCUCAGAAGAAGUUUUUAUCUUGAGAAAAAGAAAACACAAUUCAACCCCCCCUUCUUGUGUUUUUCUCACCUUCAUAAUGUAGCCGAAUCAGACUCGAAAAUGACCUUAUCCCAACCUUGUUGUUCAGCAAACCGAAUAGCUUCUAAAAGAGCCAUUGCCUCCCCUUCAAGAACCGUCAUAUGUGAGUGUUGCCAUCCCGUUUGCGUCUUCACGAAUUGUCUACCGAAUCGCAGACACAACAGCCAAAAGAAAUGACAGACAUGGACCGGUGCACUGCUGCACCAACAUUACAUUUCAACCAUUGAUUGUCCGAUUUUUCCCAAACUGUAUUGCGCUGCUGAUCACUACUGUUUGCUGCCUGCACACGACGACUAAGCCUAUGUUGUUGAGCAUUAUUCCAGUUCUGUCAGGCAACUAGUGCAGACCUCCCAAUUAUCAUCGAAGAUUGACGAGUGUCAUUCCAAAUAACGUCAUUACGCGCAACCCAUAUAUGCCACAAAAGAAGAGCUACUCUCCCGACCACAUUCCCAUCUUCAUGCUGACACACAUCAAAAACAAAACCUGCCAACGUGUGUGCAGCCUCAACGCGCUGCAGCAGAACCGUUGACAGACGUGCCCCGUACCAGCAUUCACGCACCACAUCACAGCCAACAAACGCGUGUCAGUCGUCUUCUGCACUCGUCACACACCAAGGAUAGAAACCUUCACAGUUAACAUGCCGAUACUACAAAUUUACACGUGUAGGAACGCAUCUCCGACAAAUACGCCAUAACAAAUUACGAGCCUUAUGAGGUGCAUUCACCUUCCAAAGUCGAUUCCACUACCCGUCCACAUGGAACCGUUGUGUCCUCAAGAUUUCUGUCAUAACCAAUCUAUAUCCCGACUUCACAAAAUAUCUGCCAUCUUGUUCUGCUGUCCAAAGAAUCCUAUCGCUUAUGACUGAAUCGAACAAAGGUGUCUCAAGGAUAGCAGUAGUCGUAUCAGCUGCAAAGAGAGAGGCAAUCUUUACAGAAUCCCAAGUAUGUACUCCCACAUUCACUAAAUCAUUAACAUACAUUUGAUACACAACCUCACCUUGUGGAGAUGGGACCCAAUUGCCGUAGUCCCCUCGAAUCCAAGGGAUUUGCAUCACUCGUAUUUGAGUCCUACUGCCAACAGCCCAUCUACAACCAUGUAAAAACACUUGACGCGCAUUCCAAAUACUCCUCCAAGGGAAGCUCAGAUUAUAACCAAUUUUAGCAUCUAACAAUGAAGUUCUAGGAAAAUACUUUGCUUUGUAAAUACGUGCUACCAAUGAGUUCGGAUUAGACAAGAAACGCCAUCCCUGUUUGGAAAACAUUACUAAGUUAAAAGCUUUGAAAUUCCUGAAGCCCAUCCCACCAAACUCCUUCGGGCAUGCCACUCUUUCCCACGACAUCCACUUGAUUCCUCGACUAUUACCGCCGCCACCCCACCAAAAUGCAUUAAUCAUUUUCUCAAUGUCAUAUAUGAUUGAAUUGGGUAAAACAUAAAUGUAGAAGAGAAAUAUUCUUAAAAUUUAAGUUUAUUUAAUUUUGUUUUCUUAUAUUCUCCAAAACCACACAUAACAAUCCAUCCUAAUUUCUACACCCAUACACACCAAUCCCAUAACUAAUAACCAUGAUCGGAUCUUCAAGGUACAUUAAGAGAUAAAGAGAAAUUCUAGAUUUAUAUCAAGGAUGUGAAGCAAUCCAAUCAAUAAGGCAUCCUUCUUCAAACAAUCUU